ensembl:lncRNA
UUCCUUAAUUAUUAUCAUUAUUAUUAUUAUUAUUAUUAUUAUUAUUAUUAUUAUUAUUAUUAUUAUUAUUAUUAUUAUUAUUAUUAUUAUUAUUAUUAUUAUUAUUCCGCUUUAACGCUUGGGCGUUGGAAAGGAUUCUGAUUGGACAGGGUAGUGUUGUAGUACUCGGUCUCGGUCUCGAGACCGGUCUUGAGACCACUUUUUGAAGAUCUCGGUCUUGUCUCGCACUCGACCGCAUUUUUACUCGGUCUUGUCUCGGUCUCGGGCACAGAGGACUCGGGAUUUUUACUGCGAGACCAGCCGAGACCAGCCGAGACCAUGGCUUCACCGACAGCACUGAACUACCUCUCAACUGUCUCGUUUGUUCAGUAAAAGCUUUAUUGUGAUUGGAUGCAAAACUCCCCGCCUCGAAUGUAACCAAUAACUUAACUGAUUUUUAAUUUGGAUUAUUUUUACGGGCUGUGACCUGUCACCUACCCCGCCCCUCUUCACACGUACUCCGCUACAGUUAAUGCGGGAGGCGGAAGAAGGAGUCUGCUCCCUGGGGAAGAUGUCAGCUAACUCUGCUGUAAUAAAGUUUGGCUUUUUUAACCAUAAACAGUUUAUCUGUAAAUCAACGUGAAAAAGAAAACACAGCGCUAUAUGCAAAUUCUGCAACGCAACGCUCACUGAGGCGGCUGGAACCACAUCAAACUUUUAUCGACACUUGGAGAGGAAGCAUAAAGAAAGCCCUGUAUAGACUGGUAACCUGUCCAGGGUGUCCCCUGCCUUCACCCAAGUCAGCUGGGAUAGACUCCAGCCCCCCGUGACCCUAAUGAGGAAUAAACGGUGUAUAGGUAAUGGAUGGAUGGAAGCGCAGUCAGGCC